rnacentral:rRNA from 1 species
UAAGCAUUUGGUGAAAGCGUGUGGCUCAACCAUACUCACAUCAAGUGAACUGCAAAGCUAGAGGACGAGAGAGGUCACUGGAAUUCCUAGUGUAGGAGUGAAAUCCGUAGAUAUUAGGAGGAACACCGAUGGCGUAGGCAGGUGACUGGCUCGUUCCUGACGCUCAGGCACGAAAGCGUGGGGAGCAAACGGGAUUAGAUACCCCGGUAGUCCACGCCGUAAACGAUGGAUGCUA